rnacentral:rRNA from 1 species
UACGUAGGGGCCUAGCGUUGUCCGGAUUUAUUGGGCGUAAAGAGCUCGUAGGCGGUUUGGUGAGUCGGGUGUGAAAUCUCCACGCUCAACGUGGAGGGGCCACCCGAUACUGCCAUGACUAGAGUCCGGUAGGGGAGUGUGGAAUUCCCGGUGUAGCGGUGAAAUGCGCAGAUAUCGGGAGGAACACCAGUAGCGAAGGCGGUUCUCUGGGCCAAUACUGACGCUGAGGAGCGAAAGCGUGGGGAGCAAACAGG